AAGUAGCCAUUACACUUCCUUUUAAGCAGAACGUUAAUAACAGUAAAUGUCAGAAUCUCUUUUAGUUCAGAAAUAUCAGUCUUUUAUUAUAAAUUAGGAUGUCAGGCUCCAGCGGUGGAUGUGACAAUUUCAACAUUAAGACACAUUCUAUAACAGAUGACUACAUUGUCUUGUGGAAGGAGAAGCUAGGAACUGGUAUCACAGGGCCAGUCAGACCAUGCAUCAAGAAAGACACCAGGGAAAGGUUUGCCUUGAAAUGCUUGAUGGAUGGUCCUAGGGCCCACACAGAGGUCAAACUACACAGACUCUGCAGUGACCACUCCAACAUUGUACGUGUACUCGAUGUCUACGCUAAUGAUGUUCUAUUUCCUGGGGACCCCCACCCCAAAGCACGCUUAUUAAUGGUAAUGGAAUUUAUGGAGGGAGGGGAGCUUUUUGAUAGAAUCAGUAAGGAAAGUGGGUUCACUGAAAGAAAGGCUGCUAAGUACCUCCGCCAUAUCACAGAAGCAGUAUACCGGUGCCACAGUCUUAAUGUUGCCCACAGGGACCUCAAACCAGAGAACCUCCUGCUGAAAAAUAACUCAGAGGAUGCAGAGAUAAAGCUGACUGACUUUGGCUUUGCAAAGGUGGAUGAUGGUAUUAGAGGCUCAAAAAUACAAAUCAAAACAGAGAAAAGGAGUUAUACAGACUUCCAAACCUUAUACUUAUGACAAAAGCUGUGAUAUGUGGAGUGUAGGAGUCAUUCUGUAUAUUAUGCUGUGUGGUUACCCCCCUUUUUACUCAGAAACUCCAUCCAGACACAUCACCUCAGAAAUGAAAAGAAAAAUUCUUUCAGGGAAAUAUGAAUUUCCUGAAGAGGACUGGAAGUUCAUUUCAGAUGCAGCUAAAGAUGUUGUCAGGCGGCUCCUGCAUGUGGACCCUGGCUGUAGGAUGAAUGUCCAGGAGCUGAUGUCCCACCCCUGGCUCACAGAUGCCCCAGACACGGUGCUUCAGUCCCCAGCCGUCUUCUCUAACAAGGAAGGAUUAGAAGACAUCAAGUUGGCUCAUGCAGAACAACUCACUCAGAUGAGACUGCCCGACGUAUCUAUCACACUCAAGUCUAUUAACGAGUCCCAGAGCAUCAUAAUCAGGAAACGCAAACAUAGGCAAAACAGUCAAGAAGAGAAUAGUGCAGAAACAAAACUAAAGAUUAGAGAAAAUGAUCUGAAAUUAAAACCACUACGAGAUAUCAUUGCUUACUGUAUUAUGCCACCAAAAGAUGAAAAAGAAGGCAUGUUGAACCGGCUGAUAUUGAAUGCGGUGAACAGUGUGUGCUGCCACAACAAGCUCCUGUCAAUACUAGAGCAGUGGUCCUGGGAUGGAGAAAAGUUUCAAACAAAGGUUGAAAAAAGGAAAUUUGCACAGCAGCUUAGUGAACUUGUGAAAUCUAUGACAGAUGUCAAUCCUGAUGAGAGCAAUAGCUGAUGAUAUGUGAACUAUAGAUAUGUAUACAAUUCAAAAGGUCACACAAUAGGACCAUAUCAUAACAUGAUUUUGUGAAUGUUAUAUCAUGACUAAAUUACCUAUUAGGUGAUAUCUUAUUCAUUUACAUAGAACCAUUUUUACUGAAUAUUAAUGCCUUAUGUAAUUUUUAUUUCAAUAACACUGAUUUUUUUUUAAUUUAUAUCUCUAUAAUGUUAGUGAUAGUGUUCAGUAUUAUUUAUUUUGAGUAAAUAUGUAUGGAACAAUGGGCUGGAAUACUGGCAUGAGGUGUGCAAGGGAUUUAUUUUCAUGCUUGUUCUCGCUUACCAUAUUCCAUCUCUCUUCAGUGAUAUGAUUGUUAUCCCAGUGAUUUCAGUAAAAGGAAAAGCAAAUACAAAGUCAACCAAAUCUAGCAUGUUAUAACCAGAAUUAAAUUAUUUGGAUAGAGACGAUAGGAGAGCCAUGGUCUCUCUGGAAUGCAUAAUAGGAAUGUGAUACUUUGGUACCGGUUAUAAACAUUGUGUACUAUGUGGUCCCAUGUUGUCAACGUUUUGAAGAGAUUUUACAAAUUAUUUAUUACAUGCCUUCGAUGUUGUGCAAUUACUUAAUUUACUCUGUAUUAUUGUAUACACAUAUUUACAUUUGAUGCUGACCAAAUAAAAGAAGUUUAAUACC
rnacentral:misc_RNA from 1 species